rnacentral:rRNA from 1 species
GAUGAACGCUGGCGGCGUGCCUAAUACAUGCAAGUCGAGCGAACGGACGAGAAGCUUGCUUCUCUGAUGUUAGCGGCGGACGGGUGAGUAACACGUGGAUAACCUACCUAUAAGACUGGGAUAACUUCGGGAAACCGGAGCUAAUACCGGAUAAUAUUUUGAACCGCAUGGUUCAAAAGUGAAAGACGGUCUUGCUGUCACUUAUAGAUGGAUCCGCGCUGCAUUAGCUAGUUGGUAAGGUAACGGUUUACCAAGGCAACGAUGCAUAGCCGACCUGAGAGGGUGAUCGGCCACACUGGAACUGAGACACGGUCCAGACUCCUACGGGAGGCAGCAGUAGGGAAUCUUCCGCAAUGGGCGAAAGCCUGACGGAGCAACGCCGCGUGAGUGAUGAAGGUCUUCGGAUCGUAAAACUCUGUUAUUAGGGGAGAACAUAUGUGUAAGUAACUGUGCACAUCUUGACGGUACCUAAUCAGAAAGCCACGGCUAACUACGUG